GAUGAACGCUAGCGGGAGGCUUAACACAUGCAAGUCGAGGGGCAUCACGAGGUAGCAAUACUUUGGUGGCGACCGGCGCACGGGUGAGUAACACGUAUGCAACCUACCCUGUACAGGGGGAUAACCCGGAGAAAUUCGGACUAAUACCCCAUAAAGAUAUAACUGGGCAUCCAGGGAUAUUUAAAGCUUCGGCGGUACGGGAUGGGCAUGCGCAACAUUAGCUAGUUGGGAGGGUAACGGCCUACCAAGGCAACGAUGUUUAGGGGACCUGAGAGGGUGAUCCCCCACACUGGUACUGAGACACGGACCAGACUCCUACGGGAGGCAGCAGUGAGGAAUAUUGGUCAAUGGGCGAAAGCCUGAACCAGCCAUCCCGCGUGCAGGAAGACGGCCCUAUGGGUUGUAAACUGCUUUUCCAGGGGGUGAAU
rnacentral:rRNA from 1 species